rnacentral:rRNA from 1 species
UACGUAGGGGGCAAGCGUUGUCCGGAUUUAUUGGGCGUAAAGCGCUCGCAGGUGGUCCGUCGCGUCGUGCGUGAAAGACCCCGGCUCAACUGGGGAGGGUCGUGCGAUACGGGCGGACUGGAGGCCAGUAGGGGGAUGCGGAAUUCCGGGUGUAGUGGUGGAAUGCGUAGAGAUCCGGAGGAACACCAGCGGCGAAGGCGGCAUCCUGGACUGGUCCUGACACUCAGGAGCGAAAGCCAGGGGAGCAAACGGG